AACAAGCAUAGACUGAACUUCAUUCGAUUCAUUGGCUUUGGCAGAGAACUAAUAUCAUUAAUCCAUUCAACACUACUUGAUAACAACUGAAAGAUUCAAGGAUCGCAACCAUCAAGAGUGAAACAAGAGAAGCAAAAAUCGAAAAACAUUUUAUCAGCGAAUUAUUAUACAUUAAAGAUAACAAGCAUUCAUAUACUAACUGAACAAAUUUAUAGCACUCUUUGUGGCUGCCAAAAUUUCAUCAUCUAGUUGCAUUAGGCAUACUGUUUCCUAAUAUGCCAAGUGUCCUUUCCUUUUGGGAGCAAAAAUACUAUCGUGUUAAAAAGUUAGAACACACUUUUCUUCCUCUGCACCGAUUGGGAGCACUCUUUCAUUUCUUCAAGAGCAGUGGCAGUUGAAUCACUUAUGCCCAGCAAAUACCUUUCCUUUUGGGAGCAAAAAUACUAUCGUGUU